rnacentral:rRNA from 1 species
GACGGGGCCCGCACAAGCGGUGGAGCAUGUGGUUAAUUCGAAGCAACGCGAAGAACCUUACCAGGUCUUGACAUCCCUGACAACCCGAGAGAUCGGGCGUUCCCCUUCGGGGGACAGGGUGACAGGUGGUGCAUGGUUGUCGUCAGCUCGUGUCGUGAGAUGUUGGGUUAAGUCCCGCAACGAGCGCAACCCUCGACCUUAGUUGCCAGCAUUCAGUUGGGCACUCUAAGGUGACUGCCGGCUAAAAGUCGGAGGAAGUGGGGAUGACGUCAAAUCAUCAUGCCCCUUAUGACCUGGGCUACACACGUGCUACAAUGGGCGGUACAAAGGGUCGCGAACCCGCGAGGGGGAGCCAAUCCCAAAAAGCCGCUCUCAGUUCGGAUUGCAGGCUGCAACUCGCCUGCAUGAAGCCGGAAUCGCUAGUAAUCGCGGAUCAGCAUGCCGCGGCGAAUACGUUCCCGGGCCUU